rnacentral:tRNA from 1 species
GGGCCAGUGGCACAACGGAUAACGCGCCUGACUGCGGAUCAGGAGAUUCCCCGUUCAAAUCCUGGCUGGCUCG